GACGAACGCUGGCGGCGUGCUUAACACAUGCAAGUCGAACGGAAAGGCCCUGCUUUUGUGGGGUGCUCGAGUGGCGAACGGGUGAGUAACACGUGAGUAACCUGCCCUUGACUUUGGGAUAACUUCAGGAAACUGGGGCUAAUACCGGAUAGGAGCUCCUGCUGCAUGGUGGGGGUUGGAAAGUUUCGGCGGUUGGGGAUGGACUCGCGGCUUAUCAGCUUGUUGGUGGGGUAGUGGCUUACCAAGGCUUUGACGGGUAGCCGGCCUGAGAGGGUGACCGGCCACAUUGGGACUGAGAUACGGCCCAGACUCCCACGGGAGGCAGCAGUGGGGAAUAUUGCACAAUGGGCGGAAGCCUGAUGCAGCAACGCCGCGUGCGGGAUGACGGCCUUCGGGUUGUAAACCGCUUUCGCCUGUGACGAAGCGUGAGUGACGGUAAUGGGUAAAGAAGCACCGGCUAACUACGUGCCGGCAGCCGCGGUGAUACGUAGGGUGCGAGCGUUGUCCGGAUUUAUUGGGCGUAAAGGGCUCGUAGGUGGUUGAUCGCGUCGGAAGUGUAAUCUUGGGGCUUAACCCUGAGCGUGCUUUCGAUACGGGUUGACUUGAGGAAGGUAGGGGAGAAUGGAAUUCCUGGUGGAGCGGUGGAAUGCGCAGAUAUCAGGAGGAACACCAGUGGCGAAGGCGGUUCUCUGGGCCUUUCCUGACGCUGAGGAGCGAAAGCGUGGGGAGCGAACAGGCUUAGAUACCCUGGUAGUCCACGCUGUAAACGGUGGGUACUAGGUGUGGGGUCCAUUCCACGGGUUCCGUGCCGUAGCUAACGCUUUAAGUACCCCGCCUGGGGAGUACGGCCGCAAGGCUAAAACUCAAAGGAAUUGACGGGGCCCCGCACAAGCGGCGGAGCAUGCGGAUUAAUUCGAUGCAACGCGUAGAACCUUACCUGGGUUUGACAUGGAUCGGGAGUGCUCAGAGAUGGGUGUGCCUCUUUUGGGGUCGGUUCACAGGUGGUGCAUGGCUGUCGUCAGCUCGUGUCGUGAGAUGUUGGGUUAAGUCCCGCAACGAGCGCAACCCUUGUUCACUGUUGCCAGCACGUUAUGGUGGGGACUCAGUGGAGACCGCCGGGGUCAACUCGGAGGAAGGUGGGGAUGACGUCAAGUCAUCAUGCCCCUUAUGUCCAGGGCUUCACGCAUGCUACAAUGGCUGGUACAGAGAGUGGCGAGCCUGUGAGGGUGAGCGAAUCUCGGAAAGCCGGUCUCAGUUCGGAUUGGGGUCUGCAACUCGACCUCAUGAAGUCGGAGUCGCUAGUAAUCGCAGAUCAGCAGCGCUGCGGUGAAUACGUUCCCGGGGCU
rnacentral:rRNA from 1 species